rnacentral:rRNA from 1 species
GAGUUUGAUCGUGGCUCAGGACGAACGCUGGCGGCGUGCCUAAUACAUGCAAGUCGAGCGAGGGUUUUUAAGACCCUAGCGGCGGACGGGUGAGUAACACGUAGGCAACCUGCCUCUCAGACCGGGAUAACAUAGGGAAACUUAUGCUAAUACCGGAUAGGUUUUUGGAUUGCAUGAUCCGAAAAGAAAAGAUGGCUUUUCGCUAUCACUGGGAGAUGGGCCUGCGACGCAUUAGCUAGUUGGUGGGUAAC